GGGCGAAGCUGGGAAUUUAAGCCCCAGUAAACGGCGGUGGUAACUAUAACCAUCCUAAGGUAGCGAAAUUCCUUGUCGGGUAAGUUCCGACCUGCACGAAUGGAGCAACGACUUCCCCGCUGUCUCAACCAUAAACUCGGCGAAAUUGCAUUACGAGUAAAGAUGCUCGUUACGCGCAGCAGGACGGAAAGACCCCGAGACCUUUACUAUAGUUUGGUAUUGGUGUUCGGUGUGGCUUGUGUAGGAUAGGUGGGAGACGUCGAUAUUCACACGCUAGUGUGGGUGGAGUCAUCGUUGAAAUACCACUCUGGUCAUACUGGAUAUCUAACUUCGGCCCGUAAUCCGGGUCAGGGACAGUGCCUGAUGGGUAGUUUAACUGGGGCGGUUGCCUCCUAAAGAGUAACGGAGGCGCCCAAAGGUUCCCUCAGCCUGGUUGGCAAUCAGGUGGCGAGUGUAAGUGCACAAGGGGGCUUGACUGUGAGAGUGGCAGCUCGAGCAGGGACGAAAGUCGGGACUAGUGAUCCGGCGGCACAUUGUGGAAUGGCCGUCGCUCAACGGAUAAAAGGUACCUCGGGGAUAACAGGCUGAUCUUGCCCAAGAGUCCAUAUCGACGGCAUGGUUUGGCACCUCGAUGUCGGCUCGUCGCAUCCUGGGGCUGGAGUUGGUCCCAAGGGUUGGGCUGUUCGCCCAUUAAAGCGGUACGCGAGCUGGGUUUAGAACGUCGUGAGACAGUUCGGUCCCUAUCCGCUGCGCGCGUAGGAAAUUUGAGAAGGUCUGUCCUUAGUACGAGAGGACCGGGACGGACGAACCUCUGGUGUGUCAGUUGUACUGCCAAGUGCACCGCUGAUUAGCUACGUUCGGGAUGGAUAACCGCUGAAAGCAUCUAAGUGGGAAGCCGGCUUCAAGAUGAGAUUUCCACAGGCAUUGUGCCUGGGAGGCCCCCAGCCAGACCACUGGGUUGAUAGGCCGGACGUGGAAGCAAGGACUAAAGACUUGUGAAGCUGACCGGUACUAAUAGGCCGACAACUUACACC
rnacentral:rRNA from 1 species